rnacentral:rRNA from 1 species
GGAUGUGAUCAUACCAGCACUAAAGCACCGGAUCCCAUCAGAACUCCGAAGUUGAGCGUGCUUGGGCGAGAGUAGUACUAGGAUGGGUGACCUCCUGGGAAGUCCUCGUGUUGCAUACC